rnacentral:rRNA from 1 species
CCUACGGGAGGCAGCAGUGGGGGAUAUUGCACAAUGGGGGGAACCCUGAUGCAGCGACGCCGCGUGGGUGAAGGAGUGCUUCGGCAUGUAAAGCCCUAUCGGCAGGGAAGAAGCAAGACGGUACCUGACUAAGAAGCCCCGGCUAACUACGUGCCAGCAGCCGCGGUAAUACGUAGGGGGCGAGCGUUAUCCGGAUUCACUGGGUGUAAAGGGAGCGUAGACGGCCAUGCAAGCCAGGGGUGAAAGCCCGGGGCCCAACCCCGGGACUGCCCUUGGAACUGUGCGGCUAGAGUGCGGGAGGGGCAGGCGGAAUUCCUGGUGUAGCGGUGAAAUGCGUAGAUAUCAGGAGGAACACCGGAGGCGAAGGCGGCCUGCUGGACUGCGACUGACGUUGAGGCUCGAAAGCGUGGGGAGCGAACAGGAUUAGAUACCCCUGUAGUC